rnacentral:sRNA from 1 species
GCUGGGCACGGUGACGUGCACCUGUAAUCCCAGCAACUCGGGAGGCCGAGGCAGGAGGAUUGCCAAGUUCAAGGCCAUCCCCAGCAACUU